rnacentral:rRNA from 1 species
UACGUAGGUGGCAAGCGAUACUCGGAAUCACUCGGCGUAAAGCGCAGGUAGGCGGUUCGGUAAGUCUUUUGUGAAAGCUCCUGGCUCAACUGGGAGAGGUCAAGGGAAACUACCGGGCUAGAGUUUGGUAGGGGAUACUGGAAUUCCUGGUGUAGCGGUGAAAUGCGUAGAUAUCAGGAGGAACACCGGCGGUGUAGACGGCUUUCUGGACCGUAGCUGACGCUGAGACACGAAAGCGUGGGUAGCAAACAGG